UUUAUGGAGAGUUUGAUCCUGGCUCAGGAUGAACGCUGGCGGCGUGCCUAAUACAUGCAAGUCGAGCGAACAGAUAAGGAGCUUACUCCUUUGACGUUAGCGGCGGACGGGUGAGUAACACGUGGGUAACCUACCUAUAAGACUGGAAUAACUCCGGGAAACCGGGGCUAAUGCCGGAUAACAU
rnacentral:rRNA from 1 species